rfam:Chloroflexi bacterium RBG_16_64_32 RBG_16_scaffold_33335, whole genome shotgun sequence.
UUUAAUGAGGGUUUGAUCCUGGCUCAGGACGAACGCUGGCGGCGCGCCUUACGCAUGCAAGUCGAACGCCCCGAUUUAUCGGGGAGUGGCGGACGGCUGAGUAACGCGUAGGCAACUUGUCCCACAGUGGGGGAUAACCCGCCGAAAGGCGGGCUAAUACCGCAUACGCUCACGGGGUGCAAUUCCCGGUGAGGAAAGCCGCAAGGCGCUGAGGGAGGGGCCUGCGUCCUAUCAGGUAGUUGGUGAGGUAACGGCUCACCAAGCCUAAGACGGGUAGCUGGUCUGAGAGGACGGCCAGCCAGACGGGGACUGAGACACGGCCCCGACUCCUACGGGAGGCAGCAGCGAGGAAUCUUGGGCAAUGGGCGAAAGCCUGACCCAGCGACGCCGCG